rnacentral:rRNA from 1 species
CCUACGGGAGGCAGCAGUGAGGAAUAUUGGUCAAUGGGCGGACGCCUGAACCAGCCAAGUAGCGUGCAGGAUGACGGCCCUACGGGUUGUCAACUGCUUUUAUACGGGACUAACGCGCCUUACGUGUAGGGCUUUGCAUGUACCUUAUGAAUAAGGACCGGCUAAUUCCGUGCCAGCAGCCGCGGUAAUACGUAAGGUCCGGGCGUUAUCCGGAUUUAUUGGUGUUAAAGGGAUCGUAGGCCGCAUGUCAAGCGUGCUGUGACAUGUUCGGGCUCAACCCGGGCCGUGCAGCGCGAACUGGCGUGCUUGAGUCCGCGGAAAGCAGGCGGAAUUCGUGGUGUAGCGGUGAAAUGCUUAGAUAUGACGAAGAACCCCGAUUGCGAAGGCAGCUUGCUGCAGCGGAACUGACGCUGAUGCUCGAAAGCGCGGGUAUCGAACAGGAUUAGAUACCCCAGUAGUC